UUAGUGGCGGACUGGUGAGUAACACGUAAGCAACCUGCCUAUCAGAGGGGAACAACAGUUAGAAAUGACUGCUAAUACCGCAUAUGCCUAAGCAUCACAUGAUGCAAUAGGGAAAGGAGCAAUCCGCUGAUAGAUGGGCUUGCGUCUGAUUAGAUAGUUGGUGGGGUAACGGCCUACCAAGUCGACGAUCAGUAGCCGGACUGAGAGGUUGAACGGCCACAUUGGGACUGAGAUACGGCCCAGACUCCUACGGGAGGCAGCAGUCGGGAAUAUUGCGCAAUGGAGGAAACUCUGACGCAGUGACGCCGCGUGCAGGAAGAAGGUUUUCGGAUUGUAAACUGCUUUAGACAGGGAAGAACAAAGACAGUACCUGUAGAAUAAGCUCCGGCUAACUACGUGCCAGCAGCCGCGGUAAUACGUAGGGAGCAAGCGUUAUCCGGAUUUAUUGGGUGUAAAGGGUGCGUAGACGGAGAGGCAAGUUAGUUGUGAAAUCCCUCGGCUUAACUGAGGAACUGCAACUAAAACUACUUCCCUUGAGUGCUGGAGAGGAAAGUGGAAUUCCUAGUGUAGCGGUGAAAUGCGUAGAUAUUAGGAGGAACACCAGUGGCGAAGGCGACUUUCUGGACAGUAACUGACGUUGAGGCACGAAAGUGUGGGGAGCAAACAGGAUUAGAUACCCUGGUAGUCCACACCGUAAACGAUGGAUACUAGGUGUAGGGUGUGAAGAACAUUCUGUGCCGUCGCAAACGCAAUAAGUAUCCCACCUGGGGAGUACGGCCGCAAGGUUGAAACUCAAAGGAAUUGACGGGGGCCCGCACAAGCAGUGGAGUAUGUGGUUUAAUUCGACGCAACGCGAAGAACCUUACCAGGGCUUGACAUAUACAGGAAUACUUAAGAGAUUAGGUAGCUCUUCGGAGUCUGUAUACAGGUGGUGCAUGGUUGUCGUCAGCUCGUGUCGUGAGAUGUUGGGUUAAGUCCCGCAACGAGCGCAACCCCUGUUCUUAGUUGCCAGCACGUCAAGGUGGGAACUCUAAGAAGACUGCCGGUGAUAAAUCGGAGGAAGGUGGGGACAUGUCAAAUCAUCAUGCCCUUUAUGUCCUGGGCUACACACGUACUACAAUGGCUAUUACAGAGGGAAGCGAAACCGCGAGGUGGAGCAAAACCCAAAAAAGUAGUCUCAGUUCGGAUUGAAAGCUGAAAUUCGCCUUCAUGAACCGGAAUUGCUAUAAUGGCAGGUCAGCAUACUGCCGUGAAUACUUCCCGGGCCUUGUUACACACCGCCCGUCACACCAUGAAAUUGGGGAUAC
rnacentral:rRNA from 1 species